UAAUAUGUAGCAGCUAAUAUGGUGGGCAUAUCGAGAAUUGAUAAGACGUUUUAGCUCCCUUAGGCCCCUGUCACACGGUCAGUAAUUUUUGUGGUGAACGCUUAUUAUGACGCAAGAAAAUAUUUUUAUUUUGUUUUAAGCACCGAGAGUGAAGGCAGAGCGAAUACGUUUUCGAUGCUCGCAUUAUGGGAGUACAAGAUGUACUGACGAAUGUAUGGAUCGCGUUUUGAAAGUGCUACAUGUUCAAUAUUUAUUGACGGUAUUGCGAUCCGCGAUCCAGAUUUCAAAAUUUUUAGAAAUUUUGCGAUAUGGAUUACAAUCCAUCAAUACUACAUACAUGCUACGCCGUCAAUAAAUAUCGCGAUAUUUGGAUCACGUCAAUAAAUACUGACCGUGUGACAGAGCCCUUAUAACAUGU